rnacentral:pre_miRNA from 1 species
GCCGUUCAAUUUUGGUCGCGAGUAAAAUUGUAGCGGGUGUCUUCGCCUCUGAACCUUUGCCUAUUGUGCUGUUAACCAUUCUCAGCCUGGCUUCAGAGACGUGACUCCCGCUACGCAUUUGCUCGCCAUCUCUGCUGC